rnacentral:rRNA from 1 species
UACGAAGGGGCUAGCGUUGCUCGGAAUCACUGGGCGUAAAGGGUGCGUAGGCGGGUCUUAAGUCAGGGGUGAAAUCCUGGAGCUCAACUCCAGAACUGCCUUUGAUACUGAAGAUCUUGAGUUCGGGAGAGGUGAGUGGAACUGCGAGUGUAGAGGUGAAAUUCGUAGAUAUUCGCAAGAACACCAGUGGCGAAGGCGGCUCACUGGUCCGGUACUGACGCUGAGGUGCGGAAAGCGUGGGGAGCAAACAGGG